rnacentral:ncRNA from 1 species
UAGAGCACAAUACGAUGAAAGUUGUGAAUUGUGUUUGAGGGGGAGUUAUUUUCUAUCGUUGGCCUCUAUGGUAGAAUCAGUCAGGGAGGCCUGAGAGAUGGUGGUUUACCUUGU